GACGAACGCUGGCGGCGUGCUUAACACAUGCAAGUCGAACGGAAAGGCCCUGCUUGCAGGGUACUCGAGUGGCGAACGGGUGAGUAACACGUGGGUGAUCUGCCCUGCACUUCGGGAUAAGCCUGGGAAACUGGGUCUAAUACCGGAUAGGAGCCAUUUUUAGUGGGAUGGUUGGAAAGUUUUGUGGGUGUAGGAUGAGCUCGCGGCCUAUCAGCUUGUUGGUGGGGUAAUGGCCUACCAAGGCGGCGACGGGUUGCCGGCCUGAGAGGGUGGACGGCCACAUUGGGGCCGAGGGACGGCCCAGACUCCUACGGGAGGCAGCAGUGGGGAAUAUUGCACGAUGGGCGCAAGCCUGAUGCAGCGACGCCGCGUGGGGGAUGACGGCCUUCGGGGUGGAAACUCCUUUCGCUAGGGACGAAGCUUUUUGUGACGGUACCUAGAUAAGAAGCACCGGCUAACUACGUG
rnacentral:rRNA from 1 species